GCCGAAGUGGCGGAAUGGCAGACGCGGCGGACUUAAAAUCCGCUGCCCGUAAGGGCGUCAGGGUUCGAGUCCCUGCUUCGGCACCA
rnacentral:tRNA from 1 species